GGCGCGGCGAUAGCACAUUGAAUACACCAGUACCCAAUGGCUCACCGAAGUUAAGCAAAGUUACGCGGGAUUUGUAUCCGGGUGGGUGACCAAAAUCAUAAAAUCUCUUUAGGUUCGUGUCU
rfam:Asian citrus Psyllid, Diaphorina citri - Florida Strain, whole genome shotgun sequence.